rnacentral:rRNA from 1 species
UUUAUUGGAGAGUUUGAUCCUGGCUCAGGAUGAACGCUGGCGGCGUGCCUAAUACAUGCAAGUCGAGCGAAUGGAUUGAGAGCUUGCUCUCAAGAAGUU